UCAAAAUAUAUAAUUCACCAUUUUGUAACCCUUUUUAAAAUAUAUAUAUUUUUUGAGAGAUAUGUAACAUACUGCUCAUUUUGUUUAUUUUAUUUAAAAAUAAAUUUAAUUAAAAAUGUGAAUUAAUUAGGAUUCAAUUUAGGAUCUCGAAUACUAAACACUAAGCACCUUUUGAAAUAUUAAACUAUAAUUUUACACCUUUGUAACGUAAAUUUAGGUAGCGUUUGGUUCAGGUAUAAGCAAUAACUAAUUGUUACAGGAAUAGGUACAAGUAUGGGAAUAAAAAAAAUAGCGUUUGAAUAAAAAUUAAAUUGUUUAUGGGAAUAAGAAAAAUAACGUUUGGAUAGAUAAUAUAGAAUAAGAAAAAUAGUGAAUGAUUUUAUAUAGAAAAUGGAGGUGUUGGUGGGGAUAGUUAUAUCAAUUUAUUUCAGGUACCUGAGAAUUAAUAUUCUCCGAUAAAAAAUUUGACGUUU
rnacentral:lncRNA from 1 species